rnacentral:rRNA from 1 species
AGCCCUUGACAUCCCGGUCGCGGAGAGCAGAGACGCACUCCUUCAGUUCGGCUGGACCGGAGACAGGUGCUGCAUGGCUGUCGUCAGCUCGUGUCGUGAGAUGUUGGGUUAAGUCCCGCAACGAGCGCAACCCUCGCCCUUAGUUGCCAUCAUUCAGUUGGGCACUCUAAGGGGACUGCCGGUGAUAAGCCGGAGGAAGGUGGGGAUGACGUCAAGUCCUCAUGGCCCUUACGGGCUGGGCUACACACGUGCUACAAUGGCGGUGACAGAGGGAUGCAAAGGGGCGACCCUUCGCAAAUCUCAAAAAGCCGUCUCAGUUCGGAUUGGGGUCUGCAACUCGACCCCAUGAAGUUGGAAUCGCUAGUAAUCGCAGAUCAGCACGCUGCGGUGAAUACGUUCCCGGGCC